rnacentral:lncRNA from 1 species
CGCGCGGGAGCAGCUCCAACUUUUUCAAUUUGCCGCCAUCUUUACGGCGGCCGACUUCCCAGCCUGCCUCGCGUCCAGGGAGGCGGAGCUCAGAUGAGGUCCGGGGAAUGAGGUGAUUCGCCCAAAAGCACACUACAAAUUGGAGUCACCAGCAGGUCUGCUAUUUUGCCACUAAACCAAUCUGCCGGUCACACCUUGGCUGUAAAGUGUCCUAACAGCCACCUACUUAUGAUUACUGCUUUCUUACCAAUAACCUCCCCAGCCUGUUGUGUGGCUCCUACAUCUUGAACAAAAGCGACCAAGGCAUACAUCUGUAGGAGACCAGAAUAUGCCACCCCAAAAUAUGCCUCCUUGGCCUAAGGAUUAUUCUGAGCUAGUAAUUUUGAGAAACAGAAGCUAUGAAAACAGCAUAAGCUACCCCUUUGAAAGAGAAAUUCACCCCGGCCACCACCCCGUCUGGGAAGUGAGGAGCGUCUCUGCCCAGCCGCCCCGUCUGAGAAGUGAGGAGCCCCUCCGC